rnacentral:lncRNA from 1 species
CAUGAGUCUGAGGAAAGACUUUGAACUUUGGACUUUUAAGCAGUGUUGAGACUGUUACAGACGGUGGGGUCUUUUGAAAUUGGAUUGAAUGCCUUUUUGCAUUAUGAUAUGCCUAUAAGCCUAUGGGGCCAGAGAGGGGAAUGUGGUAGUUUGAAUAAGAAUGGCCCCAUAGGCUCAUUAUUUAAAUACUUAGUAACCAGGAAGUGGCACUAUUUGAAAGGGUUAGGAGGAUUAGGAGGUGUGGCCUUGUGGAACAAGUGCAUCACUGAGGGUGGACUUUGAGGUUUCAAAAGCCCAUGCCAGUCCAGUCCCUCUCUCUGCCUCUCUGCCCAAGGGUCAAAAUGUAAAACUCUCAGUUACUGCUCCAGCACCGACUAGGUGCCAAGACCCCUGCCUUGAUGAUAAUGGACUAAGCCUCUGAAACUCGGGUGAAGCAGGCGAGACCAAGCAGGGGACUUGUAGCAGCAGUGGGUUACGGCAAGGGAAUGGUGGACCUGCAACUCCUUUGCCUUCUACAUCGUGACUGCUCAGUAUCUCCACAGAGAAGAGAGCGAUUUCCUGUUUGUCUGUGCUUAUAUCUUGAUUCUUACCAGCUACGUCACUUCCUGCCUGUAUGUACAGACCUCCAGACCUCUAUGGUUAGCUAGUGGCAGUUUCUGCCCAGCUAAGUCACUUCCUGGGAUCACAUGAUGACUCCUCUCUGCCUAUACUUCCCAGAAUCCUCCUUGUCUCCUAGUCCUACCUAUCAUCCUGCCUGGCC